UUCCCGGGCCUUGUACACACCGCCCGUCACACCACGAGAGUUUGCAACACCCGAAGUCGGUGAGGUAACCUUUAUGGAGCCAGCCGCCGAAGGUGGGGCAGAUGAUUGGGGUGAAGUCGUAACAAGGUAGCCGUAUCGGAAGGUGCGGCUGGAUCACCUCCUUUCUAAGGA
rnacentral:rRNA from 1 species